rnacentral:rRNA from 1 species
GUAGGUGGCAAGCGUUGUCCGGGAAUUAUUGGGGCGUAAAGCGCGCGCAGGCGGUUCUUUAAGUCUGAUGUGAAAGCCCACGGGCUCAACCGUGGAGGGUCAUUGGAAACUGGAGAACUUGAGUACAGAAGAGGAAAGCGGAAUUCCACGUAUAGCGGUGAAAUGCGUAGAGAUGUGGAGGAACACCAGUGGCGAAGGCGGCUUUCUGGUCUGUAACUGACGCUGAGGCGCGAAAGCGUGGGGAGCAAACAGGAUUAGAUACCCUGGUAGUCCACGCCGUAAACGAUGAGUGCUAAGUGUUAGGGGGUUUCCGCCCCUUAGUGCUGCAGCUAACGCAUUAAGCACUCCGCCUGGGGAGUACGGCCGCAAAGGCUG